CCCAUAUUUUAUUAAUAUAAAUAUAAUAUAUAUAUAUACACAAUAUACAUGAAGCAUAAGUAUCAAUGCACUAUAAAUAAACUUUCAUAAGGAAUUCUUUAGAAAAAACGAGUAAAUUGUGUUCAAAAAUAUGGGCUCUGUCAUAAACGAUCCCGCCGGCCAGGAAAAACCAACAAAAACGAGUUACCUCGGUUCAAACUCCAUUUAAACUGCAGUCAAAAGACUACAUUUUAAAUAAAGUGGAAAAUUUUGGAAACCUGUGUCCAAACCCAAAUGCUCGGAAGACCGUCUCGAGAGGUACACUUGGACUGUGUAUAAC
rnacentral:lncRNA from 1 species